UCAGUGCUGCAGCUAACGCAUUAAGCACUCCGCCUGGGGAGUACGACCGCAAGGUUGAAACUCAAAGGAAUUGACGGGGGCCCGCACAAGCGGUGGAGCAUGUGGUUUAAUUCGAUGCUACGCGAAGAACCUUACCAGGUCUUGACAUCUUCUGCCAACCUAAGAGAUUAGGCGUUCCCUUCGGGGACAGAAUGACAGGUGGUGCAUGGUUGUCGUCAGCUCGUGUCGUGAGAUGUUGGGUUAAGUCCCGCAACGAGCGCAACCCUUAUUGUUAGUUGCCAGCAUUCAGUUGGGCACUCUAGCAAGACUGCCGGUGACAAACCGGAGGAAGGUGGGGAUGACGUCAAAUCAUCAUGCCCCUUAUGACCUGGGCUACACACGUGCUACAAUGGACGGUACAACGAGUCGCGAAACCGCGAGGUCAAGCUAAUCUCUUAAAGCCGUUCUCAGUUCGGAUUGUAGGCUGCAACUCGCCUACAUGAAGUUGGAAUCGCUAGUAAUC
rnacentral:rRNA from 1 species